rnacentral:rRNA from 1 species
AACGAACGCUGGCGGCAUGCCUAACACAUGCAAGUCGAACGAUGCCUCCGGGCAUAGUGGCGCACGGGUGCGUAACGCGUGGGAAUCUGCCCUUGGGUUCGGAAUAACUCGCCGAAAGGCGAGCUAAUACCGGAUGAGCACGUAAGUCCAAAGAUUUAUCGCCCAAGGAUGAGCCCGCGUAGGAUUAGCUAGUUGGUGGGGUAAAGGCCCACCAAGGCGACGAUCCUUAGCUGGUCUGAGAGGAUGAUCAGCCACACUGGGACUGAGACACGGCCCAGACUCCUACGGGAGGGAGCAGUGGGGAAUAUUGGACAAUGGGGGAAAGCCUGAUCCAGCAACGCGGGGUGAGUGAUGAAGGCCUUAGGGUAGUAAAGCUCUUUUAGCCGGGAUGAUAAUGACGGUACCGGGAGAAUAAGCUCCGGCUAACUACGUG